rnacentral:rRNA from 1 species
AGGACGAACGCUGGCGGUGUGCUUCAUACAUGCAAGUCGAACGAUAAGGUCCCUUCGGGGAUACAUAAGUGGCGGACGGGUGAGUAACACGUAGAAAAUCUACCUCGAGGAAGGGGACAACAGUUGGAAACGACUGCUAAUACCCUAUAUGAGCUGGGCUGAAACGCCUAUCUUGAAAGUUCCGGCGCCUUGAGAUGAGUCUGCGUCUGAUUAGCUAGUUGGUGGGGUAAAUGCCUACCAAGGCGACGAUCAGUAGCUGGUUUGAGAGGAUGACCAGCCACAAUGGGACUGAGACACGGCCCAUACUCCUACGGGAGGCAGCAGUAGGGAAUUUUGCGCAAUGGGGGAAACCCUGAACCGCAGCAACACCGCGUGAACGACGAAGCCCUUCGGGGUGUAAAGUUCUGUCAGUAGGGACGAAUUUUGACGGUACCUACAAAGGAAGCAUCGGCUAACUACGUGCCAGCAGCUGC